AUGUGUGUUCCGAAGAAGGAAGGAGGAAUGGGAUUUAGAGACAUACACUGCUUUAACCUUUUGUUGGCUAAACAAGCUUGGAGACUAAUUGAUAACCGGGACUCUCUAUGUGCAAGUAUUCUCAGGGCAAAAUAUUAUCCAGAAGAUGAUUUACUCAAUGCCACACUUAAGAAGAAAGCUUCAUAUACUUGGCAAAGUAUUAUGGAAGGGGUG
rnacentral:rRNA from 1 species